rnacentral:lncRNA from 1 species
CUAACUCCUUGUCACGAUCAGAGACAAAACUGAUCUCAGGAGCACCUCGCUUCUCUCUCCAUUCACGAGCACUGAUCGGUAUUUGAUCUCUCACAAGAUAUCCAUAGUGACUAACAUAUUUAUUUGCAUGCUCACCAAGUGGUCUGCCUGUAGCUAUCUCAAACUCAGAGAUUACAUAGCGGCCCUCCAACGGCUUCUUUGGCCCUCGUGGAGGUACGCUUCUCCCCGUAGAGG